rnacentral:rRNA from 1 species
GACGAACGCUGGCGGCGUGCUUAACACAUGCAAGUCGAACGGAAAGGCCCUGCUUUUGUGGGGUGCUCGAGUGGCGAACGGGUGAGUAACACGUGAGUAACCUGCCCUUGACUUUGGGAUAACUUCAGGAAACUGGGGCUAAUGCCGGAUUGGAGCUCCUGCUGCAUGGUGGGGGUUGGAAAGUUUCGGCGGUUGGGGAUGGACUCGCGGCUUAUCAGCUUGUUGGUGGGGUAGUGGCUUACCAAGGCUUUGACGGGUAGCCGGCCUGAGAGGGUGACCGGCCACAUUGGGACUGAGAUACGGCCCAGACUCCUACGGGAGGCAGCAGUGGGGAAUAUUGCACAAUGGGCGGAAGCCUGAUGCAGCAACGCCGCGUGCGGGAUGACGGCCUUCGGGUUGUAAACCGCUUUCGCCUGUGACGAAGCGUGAGUGACGGUAAUGGGUAAAGAAGCACCGGCUAACUACGUG